rnacentral:rRNA from 1 species
AGCACGUGACUAACCUACCCCGGUGUGGGGGAUAACGGGUCGAAAGACUCGCUAAUCCCGCAUACGAUCCGCCUCGGCGGAGGAAAGCCGUAAGGCGCACUGGGCGGGGGUCGCGUCCCAUUAGAUAGUUGGUGUGGUAAUGGCGCACCAAGUCGAUGAUGGGUCUCUGGUCUGAGAGGACGACCAGACAGAUUGGGACUGAGACACGGCCCAAACUCCUACGGGGGGCAGCAGCAAGGAAUUUUCGGCAAUGGGCGCAAGCCUGACCGAGCAACGCCGCGUGGAGGAUGACGGCCCUUGGGUUGUAAACUCCUUUUGGGGGGGACGAUAAUGACGGUACCCUCCGAAUCAGGCCCGGCUAACUACGUGCCAGCAGCCGCGGUAAUACGUAGGGGCCAAGCGUUGUCCGGAAUUACUGGGCGUAAAGCGUGGGUAGGUGGUCGGUGAUGUGCCGCGUGAAAGCGCCGGAGUAAUGCCGGCGAGGUCGCGGUAGACACACGGACUCGAGGCUCGCAGAGGAACGUGGAAUUCCCGGUGUAGUGGUGAAAUGCGUAGAUAUCGGGAGGAACACCAGUGGCGCAAGCGGCGUUCUGGGCGAGACCUGACACUGAGCCACGACGGCGUGGGGAGCAAACAGGAUUAGAUACCCUGGUAGUCCACGCAGUAAACGAUGCAUACCAGGUGUGGGAUGGCGUUCGCGUCGUUCCGUGCCGCAGCUUACGCGAUGAGUAUGCCGCCUGGG